AUGGCUUGUGCAUUAGUGUUAGCCAUCCUUGUCUCAUCGGUUUUGCAUCCUUUGUCUUUGACAACAUUAGCUGAUGAAUCCGACAACAACCGAGACGCUCUGCUCUGCCUCAAGUCUCGCCUCUCCAUCACCACAUGGAACACCACCUCGCCAGAUUUCUGCACUUGGUGCGGCGUCUCGUGCACAGGGAAGCCACAACUACCCCUGGUGGUGGCCUUGGACAUGGAGGCACAGGGCCUCACCGGCGAAAUCCCGCUCUGCAUGUCCAACCUCACGUCGCUGGUGAGAAUCCACUUGCCGAACAACCAGCUCUCUGGCCAUCUCCCACCAGAGAUUGGCCGGCUCUCUGGACUCCGGUACCUCAACCUCAGCUCCAACGCGCUCAGCGGCGAGAUCCCGGAAUCGCUGUCCUUAUGCUCUAGCCUUGAUGUCUUGGCGCUGAGCAACAACUCUGUUGGAGGUGUGAUCCCACCUCUACUCGGUACGCUUCACAACCUAUCCUCUCUAGACUUGUCCAGCAAUAAACUUUCUGGUGAGAUUCCACCUCUACUCGGGAGCUCACCGGCUCUGGAGUCUGUCAGUCUCGCCAACAACUUUCUCGAGGGAGAAAUCCCGCUGUUUUUGGCAAAUUGUUCCUCCCUUCGCUACCUUUCUUUACAAAACAACAGUCUUUCUGGGGCCAUACCGGCAGCUCUUUUCAACAGCUCAACCAUCACAGAGAUACAUGUUUCGAUGAACAAUCUUUCUGGAUCAAUUCCACCUUUCACAAACUUCCCUUCAAAGCUCAACUACCUCGAUUUAACAGGGAAUAGCCUAACCGGAACUGUGCCGCCCUCAGUAGGAAAUCUCACACGGCUUGCUGGUCUGUUAAUUGCGCAAAACCAGUUGCAGGGAAACAUCCCAGAUUUAUCCAAGCUAUCAGGCCUGCAAUUCCUUGACCUCUCAUACAACAAUCUAUCAGGGAUAGUGCCACCGUCCAUUUACAGUUUACCUUUGCUGAGCUUUCUUGGGUUGGCCAACAAUAAUCUUCGAGGAACACUUCCUUCCGAUAUGGGGAACACUCUUUCUAACAUAAAUUCAUUGAUUAUGUCUAAUAAUCAUUUUGAGGGUGAUAUCCCUGCAUCGCUAGCCAAUGCCUCCAGCAUGGAGUUCCUAUAUCUCGGCAACAAUUUGCUGAGUGGGGUGGUUCCUUCCUUCAGCUCCAUGACGAAUUUGCAGGUCCUAAUGCUGUACUCAAACCAGCUAGAAGCUGGAGACUGGACAUUCUUCUCGUCCUUGGCAAACUGUACACAGCUGCUAAAGGUGAACUUGGGCGGAAACAAACUACAUGGCAAUUUGCCGCCUGGUUCUGUAGCAACCCUGCCCAAAAGUAUGGUUAACUUGAUUCUACGGUCAAACUACAUAUCUGGAACUAUUCCCUUGGAGAUUGGGAACCUGUCUAAAACUUCCCUACUUUAUCUUGAUAACAAUAUUUUCACAGGGCCUAUACCUUCUAUUCUUGGCCAGCUAAGCAAACUGGUUGUUCUUAGCCUAUCACGGAACAAGUUCUCAGGAGAAAUUCCAUCUUCCAUUGGUAACUUGAAUCAGUUGACAGAACUUUAUUUACAAGAAAAUGAAUUAAUUGGAAGCAUACCUACAAGUUUAGCUGGCUGCCAGAAAUUGGUGGCGCUAAACCUUUCCAGCAAUGGCCUCAACGGAAGUAUCAAUGGGCGCGUGUUUAGCAAGUUAAAUCAACUGAGUUGGUUACUUGACCUGUCACAUAACCAGUUCACAGACUCCAUACCUCUAGAAAUUGGUAGCUUGAUAAACCUUGGCUCCUUGAACCUUUCGCACAACAAACUCAGAGGCAAAAUCCCAUCCGCACUUGGUGCAUGUAUCCGGUUGGAAGCACUGAACUUAGACAGGAACCUCCUAGAAGGAAGCAUUCCAGAAUCAUUGGCAAGCCUCAAGGGUGUCAAAGCAUUAGAUUUCUCCCAAAACAAUUUAUCCGGUACAAUACCAGAAUUCCUUGAGACGUUUACUUCGCUGCAAUACCUAAAUAUGUCCUUCAAUAACUUUGAGGGGCCAGUUCCGAUAGGUGGAGCCUUUGCUAACACAAGUAGUGUUUCUGUCCAAGGAAAUGCACUUCUUUGUUCAAAUGUUCAAGUCAACGAUUUGCCCAGGUGCUCCACCUCGGCAUCUCAGAGAAAGCGCAAGUUCAUUGUUCCAUUGUUGGCAGCCCUGCUAGCUGUUGUUGCAUUGGCCUUGAUCUUAGGGCUGGUUUUCCUGGUUUUCCAUAUUUUGAGAAAGAAGAAGAGGCGGAGGUCAAGUCAGUCCAUUGACCACACAUAUGCGGAGUUUAAAAGGCUAACAUAUAAUGAUGUAAGCAAAGCAACGAAUGGCUUUUCUCCAACCAAUAUAGUUGGUUCUGGGCAAUUCGGGAUAGUGUAUAAAGGUCAGUUGGACGGAAAAGAUAGCUUGGUGGCUGUUAAAGUGUUCAAACUUAAUCAGUAUGGUGCAUUGGAUAGCUUUAUUGCUGAGUGCAAAGCUUUGCGGAACAUCCGGCACCGAAAUCUCGUGAGUGUCAUAACUGCAUGCUCAACUUACGAUCUGAUGGGGAAUGAGUUCAAAGCUCUGGUAUUUGAAUAUAUGGCAAAUGGUAGCCUUGAAAAUCGACUUCAUGCUAAGAUCCAGAAGAAUGCUGAUUUGAGUUUGGGGACAGUGAUAUGCAUAGCAGUUGACAUUGCGUCUGCUCUGGAAUACCUUCAUAACCAAUGCAUCCCACCAGUGGUGCACUGUGAUUUGAAGCCAAGCAAUAUACUGUUUGAUGAUGAAGAUACUGCGUAUGUCUGUGAUUUUGGGCUAGCAAGGUUAAUUCAUGGUUAUUCAUCUGAAGCUCAGAGCAACUCAACAAGCAUAUCUGGACCAAGGGGAACUAUUGGAUACAUUGCUCCUGUAUGGCAUGGGCAGUCAAAUCUCAACUGA
rnacentral:rRNA from 1 species